ensembl:lncRNA
AAAAACUAAAGAUAAAAGAGACCUCUGAAUCAAACAGCCACCAACAUGUAUUUCAUUGUUAACCUGAUUUACAAGGCAAAUGUUAAACCGGUGUUAAACUAUUCAUUAUAGUGUUAAUCGUGUUUGUAUCCUGGUCAACUUGGCUCAGCAGUGAUGUCAGUAUGUUGCUCAGUACAUUUGUUACUGGUUCCAGUGAUCAGACUGAUUCUCUCUGUCUCUACAAAUAGUUUAAACAACUGGAGAAAAAGAAGCAGCGCUUUGUUAUUUAUGUGCAGCUUUUAUUUCUAAACACAUAAAUGUACUGUGUCAAAGUACCAUGCCUGAAACUCAGUACUUCUUGCAGAAUGUUCACAUUAAACUUUUGGACCAUUCUGCCAUAUAUGAGGUUUUAAAAUGAAAGAGAGCCAACAGGAUAGUUUUAUUUUGUUUGUUUUUUGUCAAAGAGAAGUGUCUCAGUGCUGUGUGGUGUGGGAUGGCUGAAUUAGAACUGCAACCAGGGCUGGACUGGGACAAAAAAUCGGCCCAGGCAUUUUGACUACAGACCAGCCCACCAGGUAUUACAGGAAAAGCCAUAAAGCCUUUGAAUGAAAACAAACGCUGCUGUGACAGUGAUGACAACUGUCUUGUUGGUAUAUGUAUGAUUUCUAUACAUUUUACGUCAGAUAAAAACUUUGGUUUGAAGAUUCAGAUAAUUAUUUAUUAAAGCUAGAUAUUUUAAAUGAGAUUAAGAAAGAAAAGUAUUUAUUUGUGCCCCCCUUUCCCUGUUAAUGCCCAGUCUGUCGCAGGGCUAACAGAGACAGACAACCAUUCGCACUCACAUUCACUCCCGCAUUCACACCUAUGGGCAAUUUAGACCAAUCAGUUAAGCUAUCCCCACAAACUGCAUGACAGCUGGGAUAGGCUUCAGCACCCCCCGCGACCCUGAAAAGGAUAAUUGGAAGCGAAUGGAUGGCUGGAUGUUAUUUAUAGUCUGGGUCGUAAAAAACACACUGCCAUAUGAGGUCAAACUGAAAUAUUGCAGUGGAUAAAUUCUUCUGCACUGAUCUGUAAUUAAGAUUAUAUGUCUUCUUUGUGGUGUGGGGGACAAAUAUUAAUAUCCAAAUGUUUAGAAGAAUUCUGAGUGGUGUGCCUUUUGUUGAAUCUGGGGAAGAAGGGAAAAAAUCGUUUUUUAAAAAAUCACUUUUUAAUGUUUAAACACAUGUUCUUACAGUAUAUUCUUCUGUAUGCUUAGCCAACGUGAGACAACACUGCCACCCGGAGGUCAAACUGGAACAUUACAUUAACAGCUGUUCAAAAAAACACUGAUUGUUUCAUUCAUGACCACCAGAGGAAGAAAAAUUACUUUAAGUACCAUUUUAAAGUGUGUACAAAUACACAUACUUUUUUUCUACUCAGUUUAGGCUCCACAGAGGGUUUGUUUAUUUCACAUCAUGUUCACAGUGAGGUUUAACAAUCCCUUUUAAAUAUUAAACAUUUAAAAGAUUUUUAAGCACAAAGUGAUUGAAGAUGGGGGUGUUGAGCUCAUUUUGGUUAACUGUGCAUAAAUGGCCUGGACCCAAAAAAUAAUGACAUAAAAGCAGCUGCUUUCAUUUCAUUGUCAACAUGUUGGACAUCUAUCAUGUACACAAUGUUUCAAUGGUACCUUUGAUACAAGUAAAUAAAUUAUCAUUAAAAAUCACCCGGAUUCCUUUAGUGUAAAAGAAAGAACACAAACUCUCUGAUAACUAAACCUGAAUCGAUUCAUUUAAAAGUCAAAGAUAUUAAAAAAAUACUUUAAAUUUCAACAGUAUUUUUCAUUGAUGUGCAUUAAUGUUUACAGUUCACAGAGGAGCUGCAUAUUUGCAAAACAUUUACAUGUUUAAUCAUUCAGACAGUUCCUGUUGAUGCAGAAAUGCUUUGAACUUCCUGAUUUAAACUUCUGUGUAGUAACGCUGCCAUCAGCACAUCAGGAACAGCUGCAUAAUGCAUAAUUGCAUAAAUUAAUGCAACUGGAUAAUCUGGACAUGCACACUUUCCUUCAACCUUUCAAUACACUGCCUUUGACUUUGAUGAAGGGAAACAUUUGAUGAGGCAUAAAUUUCAGUAAUUAUAUGUAAAGUAUUGAUAACUGGAGAAUCAAACAGCUGCAGUCUUCUCCAGAACAUCCCAAAGAUGAUAUAAGAAUAAAGGUGUCGACUCUGUGUGUGAAAACAAUGAAUCAAAUCUCUGCAACCUUUUAAACUAAAGGUUGGUGCUUAAUUAUGGAUGUUGAUUGAACUAUUGCUGCAUAACUUUUUUUUCCCUAAAUGAUUUCACAUUAAUAAAAGUAAAUAAAAGAAAACAAAGAAGUUAAUUCUUCCUGACUCAAUCCACAAAGGAGAAGUAGACUAGAAAUCAUGGCCUGCAGUGUGUUUAUAAAUGGAUUUACAGUCAGGGCUUCGGAUUUUUUAACUGUUCCCAGUAUUAGAUGUAAAUGUGCUGAAGGUGCAUUCAGUGACCGUGGUCCCAUUCUUGUGAACAAGCUGCAUGCUGACCUGAGGUCAGUCAAAUCUGUGCAAACAUUCAGAAACAGACUCCAAAAAUCUGCUACAUUAAUGUAAAGAGUAAAUAUUUGAACAAGACAUUCUUCAGGCGAAAUAAAGACACUCAAAACAGUUUGGAUGGUAACAACGUGCGCACGCUGGGUGAGAUCUCGAGGAGAUCCCACCCCAAGCGCAGGCAGAGAUUUUAUUUAUAGUCACAUAGUGGCUUCAACUGUUUAAGGAGGAGACAAAGAUUUGCCUCUGAGAAACAGGUUUGUUCCAGUUUAGCUGGGUGUGUGUGUUCUGUAGAUAAUCACUAAAUAUCACAUAUAUGCCGCUUUCUGUGUGUGUGUGUGUGUGUGUGUGUGUGUGUGUGUCUGUCUGUGUGUGUGAUUCUGAAGAAUGGGCCCCUCUUGGUAUUUGGGAGUGUAGAUAAGAACGUCCUGCUCUCCCCUUCCUGGGAGUGAAACGGCUCGUAGAGAGCCAGGUGCAGAGGAGAUGUACUGGGUAAAUCAUAUCUGAGAACACUAUGCUUUUGUCUUUACUUCAGCUUCACUUCUGGUGAAACAGUAAAAUCAUAAAAUACGAUUAAAUGGAAAGAAUAAAUGGGUAAACAACUAUUAACACUGAAAUUAAAGAUAAACUUUCAAUAACGUACAAAUGGAAGUGGGAGUAAUACUUAAAACAUUUGAAAAUCUCUUAACAAUUAAUAAAACUGACACUGCUGUGAAAGAUGGAGUUUAAUGUGAAGUGCUGCAGUUUGAUUACUAAAAUAAUUUAUUGUAUGUUUCUGUCCAGCAGAAACCUCUUUGUUGAGAAAUUGUUUUCAUGCGAACAUAAUUAUUAUUAUUAUUUAUAUGAUAUAAUUACAGUGUGCAGGUUUAGGUUUGAGUUUAAAAUGUAAAUUUACUCUGAAGAGUAUUUUUUAAAAUUCACUGAAAACAAAGAGUUCGUAUUAAAAUGCUGUGUGUGGUUUCUGUUUUUAUGAUGUGGUCUAACAAAUUUAUUAAGAUCUGUAUAUACAUACAUUUUAUAAAAGGAGUUAAUGUCAGUGCUUUAGUUUUCAUCAAGCAAGUUUAUACAUUUCUGCAGCUUCAUAGUCCUUCAUCUGAGUCCUCAGUAGGAAGCUUGACUGGACGUUGCUUCUUAUGUUGACAAGUUUGUUGGUGUGUCACAAAACCAACGGCAAAAAGAGCAACAACAACAACAGGAACAACAACCUGAAGAGAUGGAGCGCCGACCCUUUCAGUAUCAUCCAUAUUUUCAUCUGCGUCUCCUCUUUCCAAGACUCGUUUCUCUGACACGCUUUCAUGUGUUUCACCUGCAGAAAAAUAGGCAGUAAGAAACUGUGAGGCACCAAAGCAGCAGUUCACCUGGAAGUUUGUUUGUCUGUGUCACACAGUGGAAAUUUGCGUUUAUCUUGUAUAUUGUUUUAUUUAGAUUUUUAGUGUUUAUUUAUGAGUGUCAUUUUAUUUGCAUGGUUUUUAGUGUUUUACAUGACAUGGUUUUAAUCCACUGUGGACUGGCUGCACAUGGGACAAAUUAGCUGAUAGGGACCACCUGCUGAGGCCUGGGUUGUGUCUAGAGGUGGCCUAUCA